rnacentral:rRNA from 1 species
GACGUAGGAGGCGAGCGUUAUCCGGAUUCACUGGGCGUAAAGCGCAAGUAGGCGGUUGUGAAAGUCCGUUGUUAAAGCCCCUGGCUCAACUGGGGGGAGGUCAAUGGAGACUUUAUGACUUGAGGGCAGCAGAGGCAUGUGGAACUCCCGGUGUAGCGGUGGAAUGCGUAGAGAUCCGGAAGAACACCGGUGGCGAAGGCGGCCUGCUGGGCUAUGGCUGACACUGAGGCGCGACAGCGUGGGGAGCAAACAGG